AAGUCGUAACAAGGUUUCCGUAGGUGAACCUGCGGAAGGAUCAUUAAUGAAGUCUGGGCUCCGGCCCUCUCAUCUUCUACACACUUGUGAACUUACACUGUCGCUUGGCAGGUUUCCGGAGGGGCGAAAGCUCUGAAGGUCAGGCGAAAGGCGCCUGCCAAGGACAUUUAAUCCACCCUUUUAUAUUGUCUGAUUUUGUUUUAACAAAUUAUAAUAAAA
rnacentral:misc_RNA from 1 species